AUUGAACGCUGGCGGCAGGCCUAACACAUGCAAGUCGAACGAGUGGCGGACGGGUGAGUAAUGUCUGGGAAACUGCCUGAUUGAGGGGUAUAACUACUGGAAACGGUAGCUAAUACCGCAUACCAUCGGAUGUGCCCAGAUGGGAUUAGCUAGUAGGUGGGGUAAAGGCUCACCUAGGCGACGAUCCCUAGCUGGUCUGAGAGGAUGAGCAGCAACACUGGAACUGAGACACGGGCCAGACUCCUACGGGAGGCAGCAGUGGGGAAUAUUGCACAAUGGGCGCAAGCCUGAUGCAGCCAUGCCGCGUGUAUGAAGAAGGCCUUCGGGUUGUAAAGUACUUUCAGCGGGGAGGCGUUACCCGCAGAAGAAGCACCGGCUAACUCCGUGCCAGCAGCCGCGGUAAUAC
rnacentral:rRNA from 1 species